rnacentral:tRNA from 1 species
CCCAUUAAAGGGUUAUCUAGGUGAUUAAUUGGUCUUCAAAACCAUGAUUGCUGGUUCGAAUCCAGCACCCUUUG